AGAAAAUCAUAUCAAACCGACGAUCAACAGAAACCAGAGGAACAAUCUAUCGUAUUAGAGAUUUUGAACCAAAUUUUCAAAUAGGAUCAACAACAACCAGAGGAACAAUCAAUCGUAAGACAGAUUUUGAAUCAAAUUUUAAAUUAGUGUAAAUGACAUGUUGUCUUAGUUAAAUCCGUCAAAGCAAUAACUGACAAGCGAGAAAAAAAAAAAAGGGAGGAGGAGUUAAUUGACUACAAAAUUUUAACGAUCUGAUAUUCUUUUUCUCGGGAAACAAACAGUAAGACAGUAAAGAGAAAACAAACAAACCUUCAAGUCCAGACGCUUUUCCCAGCCAGUUGGAACCUGCAAGUCCAAGUCAAGUUCCUGAGAUUCAUCCUUCAAAGACUCAUCGGUACCAUCAGUACCGCCGAGCAGGUCUCGAGUGAUCAACGCCGUCGAUUUUCCACCACUAGAUUCAUUCCCGACCGUCCGAUCCUCCUUGUAGCCAUUGACUACUCGAACCAGAGAGCUAACCUCGGCGGCCAUGUCAAGAGAGUAGCUCCGGGAGAGAAACAGAGGAGGAGGGUUAAACAGGUGGUGUUAUAUGGUAUUAAAUAGAGCAAUAUGUACAUGUGUGAGGCACAUUUAAGCGAUUUAAUACAGACCGUUAU
rnacentral:lncRNA from 1 species